UCCGCCCUAGUGCGCAUGCUCCGCGGGGCCACGGUUCUCCGACCGGCUGUGGUAGUGUCAGCUCCUGGGAAGGAAGUUUCCGCUUUGCACCCCACCCGGAUCACGGUUCUCUUGUAGGACCGGCUCCCUCCGGCUCCACAUCAGCGCAUCCGGAUCAUGGGGUUACCCAAGGGGCCGGAGGGCCAGGGGCUCCCCGAGGUGGAAACGAGAGAAGAUGAAGAACAAAAUGUCAAGUUGACUGAGAUUCUGGAGCUCCUGGUCGCAGCUGGGUAUUUCAGAGCAAGAAUCAAAGGCUUGUCUCCCUUUGACAAGGUAGUAGGAGGAAUGACGUGGUGUAUCACCACUUGCAACUUUGAUGUGGACGUUGACUUGCUCUUUCAGGAAAACUCUACAAUCGGUCAAAAAAUAGCUCUUUCGGAAAAGAUUGUCUCGGUUCUCCCAAGGAUGAAGUGUCCCCAUCAGCUGGAGCCCCACCAGAUCCAGGGCAUGGACUUUAUUCACAUAUUCCCUGUUGUGCAGUGGCUGGUGAAGCGAGCUAUAGAAACGAAGGAGGAAAUGGGCGACUACAUCCGCUCGUAUUCGAUAUCCCAGUUCCAGAAGACCUACAGCCUCCCGGAGGAUGAUGACUUCAUAAAGAGAAAGGACAAGGCCAUCAAGACUGUUGUUGACCUCUCCGACACUUACAAGCCCCGUCGCAAGUACAGACGGCAGCAGGGAGCGGAGGAGCUGCUGGACGAGGAGUCCCGAGUCCACUCCACGCUCUUGGAAUAUGGCAGGAGAUAUGGAUUUAGUCGCCAGAGCAAAACAGAGAAGGCGGAGGACAAGAAAGCAACGCUUGCUGCAGGGCUGUCGACCACAGAGAAGACAGACGCUCACGAGGAAGAUGAGCUUCAAGCAGCUGAGGAGCAACGUAUUCAAUCCCUGAUGACCAAGAUGACUGUCAUGGCCAAUGAGGAGAGCCGCCUCACCGCCAGCUCCGUGGGCCAGAUCGUGGGUCUCUGCUCUGCUGAGAUCAAGCAGAUUGUGUCUGAGUACGCGGGGAAGCAAUCUGAGCUGUCUGCUGAAGAAAGUCCAGAAAAAUUAGGAACCUCCCAGCUGCAUCAGCGGAAGGUCAUUUCCUUGAAUAAGCAGAUCCUGCAGAAGACCAAACAGCUGCAAGAGCUGCAAACAGAUCAUACCAGCCUCCAAGCCAAGUACAGCGACAUGAAGAAGACACUGGCGGAGCUGAAGAAUCAUGGUGAGAAACUAGACAAAGAGCAGGCAGCCCUGGAGAAAUUAGAAGCCAAAGCUGACCCGAGCAUUCUGCAGAGCCUGAGAGCACUGGUAGCCAUGAAUGAAAGUCUGAAAAGCCAGGAGCAGGAGUUUAAAGCACACUGCCGGGAGGAGAUGGCUCGGCUACAGCAGGAAAUUGAGACCCUGAAAGCUGAGAGAACACCGGGUGAGAAGACUCUCUCCGGUGAAGAGCCCCAGGGUGCCCUGGCCUCCACCAUGACUCACAACGAGGACCUGGACAGACGGUACACCAUGGAAAAAGAGAAGCUGUACAAGAUCCGCUUACUCCAGGCACGAAGAAAUCGAGAAAUAGCAAUUUUGCAUCGCAAGAUUGACGAAGUGCCCAGUCGAGCCGAGCUGAUACAGUAUCAGAAGCGAUUUAUUGAACUCUACCGUCAGAUUUCUGCGGUGCACAAGGAAACUAAGCAGUUCUUCACUUUGUACAACACCCUGGAUGACAGAAAAGUUUAUUUGGAAAAGGAGAUUAGCCUGCUUAACUCAAUCCACGAGAACUUCUCCCAAGCCAUGGCCUCCCCUGCUUCCCGGGACCAGUUCUUGAGGCAGAUGGAACAAAUCGUCGAAGGCAUUAAACAAAACAGGAUGAAGAUGGAAAAGAAGAAGCAGGAGAACAAGAUGAGAAGGGACCAGCUGAACGAUCAGUACCUGGAGCUUCUGGAAAAGCAGCGGCUCUAUUUCAAGACUGUGAAAGAGUUCAAAGAGGAGGGCCGAAAGAAUGAGCUAUUGCUGUCCAAGAUCAAAGCCAAGGCCUCCUGAACAUUCAUCUCCACCUCUGUAUGUUGGCGAUAUUUUUAAUGGCAUGUAUAGACUACAGGAUCUGAAACAGUUCUGAAAAUGAUGGUGGAAAGAUACGGGAAGGUUCAUUUCAACUCUCUGGAUGGAUGUUUUCUUUCUCCUAUUUGUUUCUUUUCAUCUCUCCUGGCUGCAGCUGGUGGACUCAGAGUUAACUCCAUGGCUUGGAUGACGCCUAGAACCCUGUGAAGAAACGUGGGCAAUGCUUAUUCACUGUGUCCACUCAACUUUUUCCUCCAGCAACACCGCAGUUAUGAAGAUGCAUCUUAGCCACAUGAAUCCAAGAAAAUGGGAGGUGCUGUGCAGCUGUGGGCAGCAGCCCGGUGAUGGCAGAGCUGAAAACCUGUAGCCUCCUCCUCGGAGGACAACUGAACAUGUGUAUCACAAAUCCAAGCGGACCGCCUUUUGAACCAGCAGUGCCACGUCUAGGAACUUUUCUUAUGUACAGAAACUUUUAUUAAAGCAACAUUUGUAAUAACAAAGAGUUAGAAACUAUCAUUAAUUCAGAACAGAGGUGAAAAAUCUCGGCCCAUCUCUACAGUGGAACUUUUUGCAGAUAGUUAAAAUAGACCUGCAAUAUGUAUCCCAGGGAAUGUCUACGGAUCUUGGAGCCACAUGGCUAAGUGGGGUAAGGAAACAUGUAUGCACAUGCAUGGAAUGCUAGUGUUUGGAACAGAGAUAAAUACACGUAUUGUGGGUGUGUGUAUGCAUGUGUGUGUGUACAUAUACUCACACAUAUGCUCGUGAUGCAUCUGCUUGCCUGUGCCCAGUGUCUCUGAGAAGUGGCACAGUAGCCUGGCAACCUCAGUUGCCCCCUGGAAGAGGGUGGGAAUGACUUUUCACCACUUGUCUUUUGUAUUCUGGAAUUUUGUACCAUGUACAUGCAUUAUCUACUA